rnacentral:rRNA from 1 species
UGCAGUCGAGCGGACAGAUGCGGAGCUUGCUCCCUGAAGUCAGCGGCGGACGGGUGAGUAACACGUGGGCAACCUGCCUGUAAGACUGGGAUAACUCCGGGAAACCGGGGCUAAUACCGGAUAACUCUUUUCCUCACAUGAGGAAAAGCUGAAAGAUGGUUUCGGCUAUCACUUACUUAUGGGCCCGCGGCGCAUUAGCUAGUUGGUGAGGUAACGGCUCACCAAGGCCACGAUGCGUAUCCGACCUGAGAGGGUGAUCGGCCACACUGGGACUGAGACACGGCCCACACUCCUACGGGAGGCAGCAGUAGGGAAUCUUCCCCAAUGGACGAAAGUCUGACGGAACAACGCCGCGUGAUUGAUGAAGGUUUUCGGAUCGUAUAACUCUGUUGUCAGGGAAGAACAAGUACCGGAGUAACUGCCGGUACCUUGACGGUACCUGACCUCAAAGCCACGGCUAACUACAUGCCGUCAGCCGCG